UACAGAGGUCCCAAGCGUUGUUCGGAUUCACUGGGCGUAAAGGGUGCGUAGGUGGUGAGGUAAGUCGGAUGUGAAAGCUCCGAGCUCAACUCGGAAAUGGCAUUGGAAACUACCUUGCUAGAGGGUUUGAGGGGGGACUGGAAUACUUGGUGUAGCAGUGAAAUGCGUAGAUAUCAAGUGGAACACCAGUGGCGAAGGCGAGUCCCUGGAAAACUCCUGAGCACUGAGGCACGAAAGCUAGGGGAGCAAACAGG
rnacentral:rRNA from 1 species